GCUGUAGCUCAGUGGCAGAGUGCUUGCCUAGCAUGUGUGAAGCACUGGGUUCGAUCCUUAGCAUCGCA
rnacentral:tRNA from 1 species